UACGAAGGGGGCUAGCGUUGUUCGGAAUUACUGGGCGUAAAGCGCACGUAGGCGGACUACUAAGUCAGGGGUGAAAUCCCGGGGCUCAACCCCGGAACUGCCUUUGAUACUGAUAGUCUCGAGUCCGGAAGAGGUGAGUGGAAUUCCGAGUGUAGAGGUGAAAUUCGUAGAUAUUCGCAAGAACACCAGUGGCGAAGGCGGCUUACUGGUCCGGUUCUGACGCUGAGGCGCGAAAGCGUGGGGAGCAAACAGG
rnacentral:rRNA from 1 species